rnacentral:lncRNA from 10 species
GUGGGUUUUGUGGUCUUUUGUGAUAGUUUUUGUUAUCGGGCAUAUGGACCCUCUCUUCAUGGCCUUCCCUAGCUCUAUUUGUUAGGGUUUUCUUAACAUUAGUCACUCUGUUUUGAUUCUGACAACUUUCAGUUUCAACAUGAAUUUUGGAGGGGAUGCCAUCUUUUAAAUCAUCGUACCUGGUAAAAGGGACUUUGGAGAUGGGAUUAAGUGAAGGGCCUUCAGAUGGGGGGUUAUCCUGCGCUAUCCAGGUAGGUCCCAUAUAAUCACGAUCAUGAGAGGGAGGUAGGAGCUUCACAGUUGGACAGAAGAUGUGACCACAGAAGCAGGGGUCAGAGGAGGGAAGAUGCUGGCUUUGAAGGCAGAGGAAGGGGCCACAAGCCAAGGAAUGUGGAGACCCCUAGAAGCUGGAAAAGGCAGGGACAGAUUCUCCCCUACCCUAGAGCCUCCAGAAGGAGCCAGCCCUGCCAACACCUUGACUUUACCUCAGUGAGAUAAUUUAGACUUCUGACCUCAGAACUGUAAGAGAAUAAAUGCUUGUGUUUCGACCACUGAAUUUUUGGUAAUUUGCCAUAGCAGCUGCAGGAAACAUAUACACAUGGUGACUAGUUACUGAGUUCCUUCCCCAGACACACUCAGGAGCAUGUAACCACCACAGCCUCCUAGUGGAAGCACAGGUCCUGCAGAGAGGCCAUGCCUGUGCACCCCAGGAGCCAAGGCCACCCUCCUGCACAGGGCACCACCCCUUGCACCUGCACACUCCAGCCUCCACACAGCCCUUGGUCAGGGCUGGGUACACCAGGGAAUGUUUCAAAGUAAAGCAUCCCUUACUGUGGUCAUUCUCAGCACUUUUUUUCUGGAAAGACAGAUAUGACAGAAUAUGUUCAUGUGUGACAUGGGCCCAUGGGGGUGUUUGGGAUAGUUAUCAUAUCCAGCACACCGAGAAGGUUGAUAUUGAGAACUGGGACAGGAAAAAAUACCAUCUUUAUCAUCACUGGCCUUUAACCAAAAUUUAACAUUUUCCUGAAUUAUGAAUCUAGGCAACCAACUGCUGCAGCAGCAUCAGCAGUGUCCGGGACUCCACCUCCUACAGAAGUCGUGGAUGUCUCACAUCACAUCACCAUUGCUGCAGAUGCCACAGAAUACCAUUCUGCUCAUCAUUGCUCCAAAAUUACCAUAACUCCUGGACCAGCUGCUUGAUUACAUUAUUUAAUGCAUUCAUAAAGAGGCACAUGCAGUACUGUACCACCGUUUAAAAUUUGUGAUGAAAGUACUUUAAUUUCAUUUUUAAUUUUGUAGGCAUUAAAAGCAUUAUCUGAAUCUCAAAGAAAAGUCCAAGACCUGAUGGUUUCCUGGUGAAUUCUACCAAACGUGUAAAGAAGAACUAAUACGAGCCCUUCAUAAACAUUUCCAAAAAACUGAAGAGAAGGGAACACUUCUUAACGCAUUCUAUGAGGCCAGCAUUACCCUGGUACCAAAGCCAGACAUACACAUGACAAGAAAAGAAAACUACAGACCAAUAUUCCUUAUGAACACUGAUGCAAAAAACCUCAACAAAGUACUGGCAAACUUCAGCGGCAUAUUGAAAGGAUUAUACACUAUGACCAAGGAGAUUUAUUCCUGGAAUUCAAGGAUGGCUUAGUAUACAAAAAAAAAAAAAUCAGUGUACUACACUAUACUAACAGCAUGAAGGAAAAAACUACAUGAUCAUCUCAAUUGAUGCAGAAAAAGCAUUUGACAAAACAACACCCUUUCAUGAUAAAACCACUCAACAGAUUAGGACUGGAAGGCAACUACCUCAACAUAAUAGAAGCCAUUUAUGCAAAGCCCACAUCUAACACUGCUCAGUGAUGAAAGGCUGAAAACUUUUCCUGUAAAAUCAGGAAUAAGAGGCCGGGUGCGGUGGCUCACGCCUGUAAUCUCAGCACUUCGGGAGGCCAAGGCGAGUGGAUCAGCUGAAGUUGGGAGUUCAAGACCGGCCUAAGCAACGUGGAGAAACCAUGUCUCUACUAAAAAUAGAAAACUAGCCAGGCGUGGUGGUGUACACCUGUAAUCCCAGCUACUCCGGAGGCUGCGACAGGAGAAUCGCUUGAACCCAGGAGGCAGAGGUUGUGGUGAGCCAAGAUCGCACCAUUGCACUCCAGCCUGGGCAACAAGAGCAAUACUCCAUCUGAAAAAAAAUUAAAAUCAGGAAUAAGGCAAAAAUAUCCACUUUUGUCCCUUCUAUUAAGAUCUAGCCAGAGCAAUUAGGCAAGAAAAAUAAAAGACAUCCAAAUGGAAAAGGGAGAAGUAAAAUUAUCUCUGUUUACAGAUUAUAUGAUCCUAUAUGAAGAAAAUCCUAAAGAUUCCACAGAAGAUCUGUUAGAACUAGUGAAUGAAUUCAGCAAAGCAGUAGGAUGCAAAGAACAAUCUGAAAAGGAAAUUAUGAAAACAAUUCUAUGUACAAUAGCAUAAAAAGAAUAAAACAAGAUUAAGGCAGUGAAAGCUACAAAACAUUACUGAAAGAAAUUAAGACACAGAUAAAUGGAGAGACAUUUUGUGUUCAUGGGCUGGAAGACUUAAUAUGGUUAAGAUGUCAGUACUACCCAAAGCAAUCUACAGAUUUAAUGCAGUCCCUAUAAAAUCCCAAUGACAUUUUUUGCAGGAACAGAAAAACAUCUUAAAAUUCAUUUGGAAUCUCAAGGGACCCUGACUAGCCAAAACAGUCUGAAAAAGAACAAAGUUUAAGGACUUUCACUUCCUGAUCUCAAAACUUUCUACACAGCUAUAGUAAGCAAUGUGGCACUGGCAUAAAGACAGACAUAGAAACCAAUGGGAUAGAAUAGCGAGCCCAGAAACAAACCCUUGCAUACAUGGCCAGAUGAUUUUUUAAUAAGGGUGCCAAGACCAUUCAGUGGGGAAAGGACAGUCUUUUUCAGCAAAUGAUGCUGGGAAUACUAGAUAUCCACACACAGAAAAAUAAAGUUUGGCCCUUACCUUACCACAGAUAGAUUCAAAAUGGAUCCAAGACCUAAAUGUAAGAUCCAAAACUAUAAAAUUCUAAGAAGAAAAUAAAGGGCAAAGCCAGGCACAGUGGCUCGUGCCUGUAAUGCCAGCACUUUGGGAGGCUGAGAAAGGAGGACUCAUCCCCCGAGGCCGGGUGUGGUGGCUCACGCCUAUAAUCCCAGCACUUUGGGAGGCCGAGGCAGGUGGAUCACGAGGUCAAGAGAUCAAGACCAUCCUGGCCAAAGUGGUGAAACCCCAUCUCUACUAAAAAUACAAAAAUUGGCUGGGUGUGGUGGCAUGUGCUGGUAGUCCCAGCUACUCAGGAGGCUGAGGCAGGAGAAUCGCUUAAACCCAGGAGGUAGAUAGAGGUUGCAGUGAGCUGAGAUUGCACCACCGCACUGCAGCCUGGCAACAGCGAGACUCUGUCUCAAAAAAUAGGAGGACCUCUUGAGCCCAGGAGUUUGAAACCAACCUGGGCAACAGAGAGAGAGACCCUGUCUCUACAAUAAAUUUUAAAAUGAGCCAGGUGUGGUGCACACCUGUAGUCCCAGUUACUCAGGAGGCUGAGGUGGGAGGAUCACUUGAGUCCCGGAGUUUGAGGCUGCAGUGAGCCGUGAUUACACCACUGCACUCCAUCCUGGAUGACAGAGCAAGACCCUGUAGCAAAAAAAAAGAAAAAGAAAAAUAUAGGGCAAAAGCUUCGUAACACUGAAUUUGGCGAUGAUUUCUUGGAUAUGACACCAAAGGCCCAGGCAACAAAAGAAAAGAUAAAUUGGACAUCAUGAAAAUCAAAACAUUGCUUUCAUUAAAAGACACUGUCAGCAGAAGCUGGGCAUGGUGGCUCAUGCCUGUAAUCCUAGCACUUUGGGAGGCCGAGGCUGGUGGAUCACUUGACCUCAGGAGUUGGAGACCAGCCUGGGCAACAUGGUGAAACCCCAUCUCUACAAAAAAACACAAAAAUUAGCCAGGCAUGGUGGCUCAUUCCUAUAGUCCCAGCUGCUUGCAGAGCUGAGGCAAGAGGAUCGCUUGAGCCCAGGAGGCAGAGGUUGCAGUGAGCCGAGAUUGUGCUACUGCACUCCAGCCUGGGUGACAGAGUGAGACUGUCUCAAAAAAAAAACAAAACAAAAGAGUAGAAAGACAACCUACAAAAUGGGAGAAAAUAUUUGCAAAUAUUGUAUCUGAAAAGGGAUUAAUAUCCAAGACUCCUAAAACUCAAAAAUAGAAAACCAAACAACGUGGUUAAAAAAUGAGCAACAGACUUGCAUAGACGCUUCUCCAAAAAAGAUACACAGAUGGCCAAGAAGCACAUGAAAAGAUGCUCAACAUCACUAGUCAGUAGGGAAAUGCAAACCAAAAACCACGAGAGACCCCCUCCCAGCCACUGGAAUGGCUGCUACCAAAAAACUAGAAAAUAGCAAGUACCAGGGAGGAUGUAGAGAAACGAGAAGCCCUGUGCACUGUUGCUGGGAAUGUAAAAUGGUGCAGCCACUGUGAAAAACAGCAUGGAAGUUCCUCAGACAAUUAAACAGAAUUACCAUGGGACCCUGUAAUUGAAAGCAGGGUCUCCAAGGGGUGUUUGGACACCCCAGUUCACGGCAGCUUAUUCCACUUGGGUGGAAACAGCUGAAGUGUCUGUGGACAGAUGGAUAAGGAAAAUGCGGCCUCACCACACAAGAAAAUACUACUCAGCCCUAAAAAGGAAGAAAACUCUGACCCACACUACAAUACGGAUGAGCCUUGAGAACAUUAUGCAGAGUGAAAUGAGCCAGUCAUGAAAGGACACAUCCUGUAGUCCCACUCAUUGGCAGUCCCCAGAGUCAUCAGAUUCAUAGAGACAAGAAGUAGAAAGGUGGCUGCCGGGCUGGGGAGGGGACGGAAGUGAGUGUUUCAUGGGGACAGAGUGGGCAGAUGGAGAGUUCUGUGGAGGGAGGGAGGUGAUGGUCCCGCAUUGCUGUGACUGCUUAAUGCCAGUGACCUGCGCACCUGCAAUGGUCAAUCUCUGCCCUCCAGCGGGUGCCCCCAUGGUGCCAGGCCCCCGUCAUCUUGGGGUGCACAGCGCAGCGGUGUCUCACCAGGAUGGGAUCCGCUGAGGGUUGGAGCCUCAGCUCAGGCCAGGGCUGCACCUGCCCCCACCACACCAUACACACCUCCCCCACUCUGUUCCCCAUUGGCCCCCUCCUCACUCCACCCAUGCUGUCUGGCCCCUUCUCCCCCAGGUUCUGCAAGAGCGGGUGUGGUGGGCCCACUUGCAGUCCCAGCUCCUGGGGAAAUUGCAGGGGCUGCUGGAACCCAGGAAAUCCCAGCUCGCUGGGCAUCUUGAACCUACCAAAAAACACCCUCAGCAGAAAAUGAGAGGGCAGGAAGGAUGUCAGCAGAGCCUCUGUGGACUCUUCAUGGGAGGGAGGACUCUCAUGCUGACUUGCAAGGAGGCACCCCGGAAGCCCCCAGUCCAGGAGUGACAUGGGAAGGGUAGUUCAGAGGCAGGUUUCUGACCCCUCUGGCCUCCAUCAGAGCCACCGCAAAAAUUCCACCUGUUAAAUAAAAACGGACUGAGGCCGUGGUGCACUCCUGUAAUCCCAGCCCUUUGGGAGGCCAAGGUGGGAGGAUCGCUUGAACCCAGGAGCUCAAGACCAGCUUGGGCAACAUAGCAAGACUCCACCUCUACAAAAAAAUUAGCCGGGUGUGGUGGCGUGUGCCCUUGGUCCCAGCUACCCAGGAGGCCGAGGCGGGAGGAUUGCUUUGGCCCACUGGAAUGUUCUGCCAGGAGGGGGUAGUUUAGAGCCUAUGAACCACGGCAAUGAGCACUGCGAGCAGGGACAAUGGGGGGCUGGGGUUGGGGUGGGCUCCACGAGCGCUGAAAGCUGAGCUAUCCCAGGGACCUGGGAGGUGACCCUGUGGCUGCCGAGUUUCUCUCUGGAUGCACACCAUGUCUAUGAACCCUAAGGAAGGGUCCCCACUUUGCUGGGAGCCUCGGAGGCUGGGGGCACCAUCCCCAAUCCCUCGGGGCAGGCUCAGAUCCUGGCACACUGACAUUGCCAGCCACUCCUGGGCACUUGCUGUGUGCCGACCCAGGACUAGGAGCUGCACCUGGGCCCCAGGAUGUCCCCUAGUUUGCAAAUGUGGAAACUUGAGUCUCAGAGACUUAGGGACAUUGGCCUCUGUGAAUCUCAGGGCUGCUUCUCCUGAGGCCUGAACCAGGCCUGGCACUGUCUGCUGGGUGCGGGCCCAGCCCUGGGAGGACCCAGCAGGGGUGCUCAGACCUCCCAUCCCAUGGCUAACCCACCGCUGGGGAGGAAACCUGUGGACACUUGCACUGAAAAAUGUCACUCUCUACAAGUAUGCAAGGGAGUCGGACCAUCUCCCAUCAGACCUGGACACCCGCCGGACACCACAGCCCCUAACACUCCGGCCAGGUCGCUCCAGGCUGGCACAGGUGGCACCCAGCCAGUCACACUUAAAGCAGGGUUUCCCUGGCCUUACCAUAUUAUCACUCCCCAAGGAGGAAAUGCGAAUUUUUAAUUAAGUGAAUUAAAUGCUAAUUUAAUUAAGUGAAUUAAAUUCCAUUUCUCCCUUGUGAGAUAAAUAAUAAGGAAUGCGGUUUUGCC